CGCUCCUUCUGCGUGGAAAGUACAAUUUGUGCAUGUGUAAACUCCAGGUCUCCUAAAGGCAGAUUUUUCUUUUUUCCGUAAAAUUUCAUUCCCUUCCUUGCGUUCUUUUAACCUUGAAAGGUUUUGCAGUGGGUUGCUCGCUCUGAAAACGACUCUCUUUGCUCUCUAACGCACGUAAUGCAAACUGUUCUAGCAGCCCUGCGUUUUGUAAGUGGUGCGGCCCCUGACAAGGAGCUAUGCGAGGAGGCUGAUGUUUUCUGGAGGGAGUCGCAGAAGCCACCGCACCACGGCUUUGCGCUGCUCUUCAGGGGCAGCUCCAAGCGCGGCCCCAGCGGGCACCGGCACGGCCCUCCGGCGCCAGUCCCCCCAGGACGGACGUCCGCCUCUAGUUUUCAGCCUGGACUUUUAUAGCCAAUUCCCAACCCCGAAAGGCUGCUGCAAACAUCUGAGCACAAGAAGUAAGUCCUUGAUUUCAGCAUACCUUGUGUAUGAAGAAGAUGGAGAUCGUGUUUAUCAGAUUGCCAUAUAGCGUUCCUUCCACCUCUGCCUCCUUUUCAGGAGUGCAGAUUCCUACACAUGACCAGUCUUCAGUAGUGAACAAAAAUGGCAUCUAAAUCCCAAGUGACACUCUUAAGUACUUGGCAGCAGAAGGGCUCUUCUGAGGAAGAUUAAGUUAAUGGAAGCAUUUGGGUAACAUCUGCAUGACUCUUCAUCCUGGUAAGGCCAACUCACACUGCAGCAACACGUGAUGGAGGAUUUCUUCGAUUAUCACUUAAGAACAAAACUGGCUGAAGUUCCUUUUCAAGUGCUCAUCAGGCUGUGAUAUGUUUGUGUGAGUAUAUAUACUGCGUAAACAGGCACAGUUAUAAAAGCAGACCUGUAUGGACUUCUAAGAGUACUUAAUAAAAAUCAGAUUACUUGUUUAAUGAAAAGUAGA
rnacentral:lncRNA from 1 species